GGGCCCGCACAAGCGGUGGAGCAUGUGGUUUAAUUCGAUGAUACGCGAGGAACCUUACCAGGGCUUAAAUGUAGUGGGACAGGUCUAGAGAUAGACCCUUCUUCGGACUCAUUACAAGGUGCUGCAUGGUUGUCGUCAGCUCGUGCCGUGAGGUGUCAGGUUAAGUCCUAUAACGAGCGCAACCCCUAUCGUUAGUUGCCAGCGAGUAAUGUCGGGAACUCUAACGAAACUGCCAGUGCAAACUGUGAGGAAGGUGGGGAUGACGUCAAAUCAUCACGGCCCUUACGUCCUGGGCUACACACGUGCUACAAUGGCCGGUACAGAGAGCAGCCACUUCGCAAGAAGGAGCGAAUCUAUUAAAACCGGUCUCAGUUCGGAUUGGAGUCUGAAACUCGACUCUAUGAAGCUGGAAUCGCUAGUAA
rnacentral:rRNA from 1 species